GCGCAGGUGGCGGAAUUGGUAGACGCGCUGGAUUUAGGUUCCAGUGGGGAGACCUGUGGGGGUUCGAGUCCCCCCCUGCGCACCA
rnacentral:tRNA from 1 species